rnacentral:lncRNA from 1 species
UGGCCCAGAGAAGCGCUCAGAGGUGGGGGUCCCCAGCUGGCCAUGGAUGAUCUUCCAGCUGCUCAAUCAGCUACCUUCGUGCACUGCUAGCCGUUUGGCGUUCUGGCAUGUCCCACAGCGUGCUUAGAUGCCUUGGUUUAUCCCAAGGACUUUUCAUUUAGAAUAACCAAUGUCAAUCAUUUGGGUAAUAAGGGGUCCUGCUUUGAAACCUGAGAUCAUAACCAGCCCGUGAAUG